AGCCCAUGACAGGUUGGUCAAAGGCAGGUGUUGUGCCCACGUGGAAGCCCAACAGCUGCAUUCCUGCUGUAUUCCCUGGCACCCACCUGGAUGGCUUUCUAGGAUAUUUCCCAAGAGCUCUGCAAGGAGCCCAGCACCCAGUGUGGGCAGGAAGAGAGAGAGACACCACCUCUUCUUGAGAGACACCAUGACUUACCAGCUCUGUGUCAAAGCUUUUCUUUCAGCUAAGGAGUCAGCAGCAGAAGAGGAGCAGUGAAUUCCAACACCCAGCAACAUGUACAAGGUACUGAUAAAGGCCCUGAAAUUUGGUAUUCAAACCUCAGGAGUGUAGAAAUAACUGUAAGAAGUUUUUUCAGUUGAGUAGACAUUAACACUGCCCUAAGUGCAGGGAAAAGGCAUUCCACAUGUAUUUAAUGGUAACAUUAAUAUAUCUGAGGAUAAUUCUUAUCUAAUGAACACCCAGAUUAUUUUCUUUUCUUGGCUAGUGUUUAAGUAGUCUAACUUCUUUUUAGGAUGUUGAGUAUCUUUUCUUGUUCAGUGGAGUCAGUAGUAUCUUUGCUUCUUGGAAAUUUGUCUACUCUUAGGGUUUCCUUCUUUAGUGUCCUCUGUGCAUUUUAAUUGUUCCAAUAAUCUCUGGUUAAAAAACCAGGUUUUUCUAAAAUGCUGAUAAAAUGAGUACACAAUAUUUUUACAAUUAAAAAGAAAUUAUUUUCGUGACAA